GCGGGGGUGCCGGAGCGGUCAAACGGGCCGGGCUUAGGACCUGGUAGCUUAGUGCUUACGCAGGUUCGAAUCCUGUCCCCCGCA
rnacentral:tRNA from 1 species